AUGGGCGCAAGCCUGAUGCAGCGACGCCGCGUGAGGGAUGACGGCCUUCGGGUUGUAAACCUCUUUCAGCAGGGACGAAGCGCGAGUGACGGUACCUGCAGAAGAAGCACCGGCCAACUACGUGCCAGCAGCCGCGGUAAUACGUAGGGUGCGAGCGUUGUCCGGAAUUACUGGGCGUAAAGAGCUCGUAGGCGGUUUGUCGCGUCGUCUGUGAAAUUCUGCAGCUUAACUGCAGGCGUGCAGGCGAUACGGGCAGACUUGAGUACUACAGGGGAGACUGGAAUUCCUGGUGUAGCGGUGAAAUGCNCAGAUUUNAGGAGGAAAACCGGUGGCGAAGGCNGGUCUUUNGGUAGUA
rnacentral:rRNA from 1 species